AGAGCGAACGCUGGCGGCAUGCUUAACACAUGCAAGUCGCACGGCUGGGGUAACCCAGCAGUGGCGGACGGGUGAGUAACGCGUAGGUAUCUAUCUCCGGGUGGGGGACAACUGUGGGAAACUACAGCUAAUACCGCAUGAUGCCCGAGGGCCAAAGCAGCAAUGCGCCUGGAGAGGAGCCUGCGUACGAUUAGCUUGUUGGCGGGGUAAUGGCCCACCAAGGCGACGACGGGUA
rnacentral:rRNA from 1 species